CGAGAGUCUGAACCAGCCAAGUAGCGUGAAGGAUGACUGCCCUAUGGGUUGUAAACUUCUUUUAUACGGGAAUAAAGUGAGCCACGUGUGGCUUUUUGUAUGUACCGUAUGAAUAAGGAUCGGCUAACUCCGUGCCAGCAGCCGCGGUAAUACGGAGGAUCCGAGCGUUAUCCGGAUUUAUUGGGUUUAAAGGGAGCGUAGGCGGGUUGUUAAGUCAGUUGUGAAAGUUUGCGGCUCAACCGUAAAAUUGCAGUUGAUACUGGCGACCUUGAGUGCAACAGAGGUAGGCGGAAUUCGUGGUGUAGCGGUGAAAUGCUUAGAUAUCACGAAGAACUCCGAUUGCGAAGGCAGCUUACUGGAUUGUAACUGACGCUGAUGCUCGAAAGUGUGGGUAUCAAACAGGAUUAGAUACCCUGGUAGUCCACACAGUAAACGAUGAAUACUCGCUGUUGGCGAUAUACAGUCAGCGGCCAAGCGAAAGCAUUAAGUAUUCCACCUGGGGAGUACGCCGGCAACGGUGAAACUCAAAGGAAUUGACGGGGGCCCGCACAAGCGGAGGAACAUGUGGUUUAAUUCGAUGAUACGCGAGGAACCUUACCCGGGCUUAAAUUGCAACUGACGGAAUCGGAAACGGUUCUUUCUUCGGACAGUUGUGAAGGUGCUGCAUGGUUGUCGUCAGCUCGUGCCGUGAGGUGUCGGCUUAAGUGCCAUAACGAGCGCAACCCUUAUCGAUAGUUACUAGCAGGUUAUGCUGAGGACUCUAUCGAGACUGCCGUCGUAAGAUGUGAGGAAGGUGGGGAUGACGUCAAAUCAGCACGGCCCUUACGUCCGGGGCUACACACGUGUUACAAUGGGGGGUACAGAAGGCAGCUACACGGCGACGUGGU
rnacentral:rRNA from 1 species